AGCGCCUCUUGCCCGGUCGCGUUUACCGAGGAUACGGAAAAGUUUGCCACCCCCUGAUCUUACUCAUCAUUAAGCACAGGGAGCGUUGGGAUCAGUCACGGAGCCCUGCCAGGGAUGAUGGGGAUUGAGAGCAGCCAAAUACCCUACAGGAGGCCAUGCAGCAGCCCACAGCUCUGCAGAGAGAAACUAAACUGGUG